CUGUAGGGUGGCACAGACAGUCUCCAUUAGAAAAGCCAACUUUGUCAAGUCAAGUGUGUCUUUUCUAGCCCUUCCCCUGGAAACUCAAAUGGGGCAAAGUGAUUUGUGUGUGUGAGGCUGUGACUGGGCUGAGAGAUAAGAGAGACAGUGAGAGAAAGAGACCUACUCGUCUGCUGACUACAGAGGAGUGAAGUGUCACAGUACGGCCUGGUUCUCUCAGGACAGGAAAUGAGGACGGGAGGAGAUCCGAGACAUUAGCACGCACAGUGCUGAUUCACGGCAAAUUUCACCGCUGUCUUCCUCUAGUGCUGAUAGCACCACAGAAUAAAGUACUUUCCUGACAGUGUGCAGGGCCCGGAAUGGCAGAGGAGUCUGUGCCAGAGAACACAACCUAUGCAGGGGAUUUGGGACAGAGGACAAAAUGGCGAAUUCUGCAUUAUGAUUGGUCAGAUCACCUGUCAAUCAAACUCCUGGCGAAGGCCCUAAAUGGUCUUUGGCUAAACCCAGGCUUUGAAAAAAGCAGCUUCUCCAAGGAAGUGAAGAAGACAAGAGGACAUCAGACCUGGUUUUCUAUAAACCCUUCACACGGAUCUUCCUGGAAUGGUAGCAGAUUCGACUGCCACAUAGUCAAUGAACAGACUCAAGCGGCUCAGCAAGGUUAACCAAGACUAUAAUCCAAUUAAAAUUCCACAAUUAUUACAGAGCACAUGCCUCUGUCUCUUUUUCUGUCUUUCUUCCAGCUUAGACAGUCAUCUGAUCGAUUUA